rnacentral:pre_miRNA from 1 species
AAAAAGAUAAACCCUGGUUUCCGUGUCUAACGUUUAACCGUCCGUCUUAUUUGAAAAAAUUAUGAAAAAAAUUAAAAAGAUAAGUCACGCAUAAAGUAUUAAUCAUGUUUUAUCAUCUAACAACAAUGAAAAUACUAAUUAUAAAAAAAAUUCAUAUAAGACGGACAGUCAAACGUUGGCACGGAAAUCCAAGGUUUGCCUUUUU